AACGCUAGCUACAGGCUUAACACAUGCAAGUCGAGGGGCAGCAUGGGAUUAGCUUGCUAAUCCUGAUGGCGACCGGCGCACGGGUGAGUAACGCGUAUCCAACCUUCCCCUUACUCAGGGAUAGCCCGGUGAAAACCGGAUUAACACCUGAUGGUUUCAUUAGAUGGCAUCUGACGAUGAAUAAAGGCUUACGGUAAGGGAUGGGGAUGCGUCUGAUUAGCUUGUUGGCGGGUAACGGCCCACCAAGGCAACGAUCAGUAGGGGUUCUGAGAGGAAGGUCCCCCACAUUGGAACUGAGACACGGUCCAAACUCCUACGGGAGGCAGCAGUGAGGAAUAUUGGUCAAUGGGCGAGAGCCUGAACCAGCCAAGUAGCGUGCAAGGAUGACGGCCCUAUGGGUUGUAAACUGCUUUUGUACGGGAAUAAAGUCAUCCACGUGUGGAUGUUUGCAUGUACCGUAAGAAUAAGGACCGGCUAAUUCCGUGCCAGCCGCAGC
rnacentral:rRNA from 1 species